rnacentral:rRNA from 1 species
CUACGGGGGGCACCAGUGAGGAAUUUUGCGCAAUGGGGGAAACCCUGACGCAGCAACGCCGCGUGAGUGAAGAAGGCUUUCGGGUCGUAAAGCUCUGUCAGAUAGGAAAAAAGUUCAUAUGUAAAUAGCUUAUGAAUCUGAUGGUACUAUCAGAGGAAGCACCGGCUAAGUCCGUGCCAGCAGCCGCGGUAAUACGGAGGGUGCAAGCGUUGUUCGGAAUUACUGGGCGUAAAGGGCGUGUAGGCGGUAUGGUAAGUCAGAUGUGAAAGCCCUGGGCUUAACUCAGGAAGUGCAUUUGAUACUGCCAUCCUUGAGUAUGGGAGAGGAGAGUAGAAUUCCCAGUGUAGAGGUGAAAUUCGUAGAUAUUGGGAGGAAUACCCGUGGCGAAGGCGACUCUCUGGACCAAUACUGACGCUGAGACGCGAAAGCGUGGGGAGCAAACAGGAUUAGAUACCCCGGUAGUC